UACGUAGGGUGCGAGCGUUGUCCGGAAUUAUUGGGCGUAAAGAGCUCGUAGGCGGUCUGUCGCGUCGGUCGUGAAAACUUGGGGCUUAACCCUGAGCUUGCGGUCGAUACGGGCAUGACUGGAGUUCGGCAGGGGAGACUGGAAUUCCUGGUGUAGCGGUGAAAUGCGCAGAUAUCAGGAGGAACACCGGUGGCGAAGGCGGGUCUCUGGGCCGAUACUGACGCCGAGGAGCGAAAGCGUGGGGAGCGAACAGG
rnacentral:rRNA from 1 species